ensembl:snoRNA SNORD22 Small nucleolar RNA SNORD22
UCCCCAUGAAGAAACAAUCACAUGUCUUACUUCCUGUCCCAGCCCCAGAGCCUGAAAAGGUGAACCCACUGGGGCUGGCUGGGGGAGAAGAGGAAAAUUUGUUCCAGAAGGAACUGUCUGAGGGAU